rnacentral:rRNA from 1 species
UAAGGAAUAUUGGUCAAUGGACGCAAGUCUGAACCAGCCAUGCCGCGUGGAGGAUGAAGGCCCUCUGGGUUGUAAACUUCUUUUAUAUGGGACGAAAAAGGGUCUUUCUAGAUCAACUGACGGUACCAUGUGAAUAAGCACCGGCUAACUCCGUGCCAGCAGCCGCGGUAAUACGGAGGGUGCAAGCGUUAUCCGGAUUCACUGGGUUUAAAGGGUGCGUAGGCGGGUUGGUAAGUCAGUGGUGAAAUCUCCGAGCUUAACUUGGAAACUGCCAUUGAUACUAUCAGUCUUAAAUAUUGUGAAGGUCAGCGGAAUAUGUCUUGUCGCGGUGAAAUGCUUAGUUAUGACAUAGAACACCAAUUGCGACGGCAGCUCACUACGAAUGUAUUGACACUGAGGCACGAAAGCGUGAGAAUCAAACA